rnacentral:lncRNA from 1 species
AGCAGCUCUCUGGGUUGACAGUGUACCCUACACAUGGGGGGGGAUCCUGGGGCCCCCAGCUUUGGGUUUGCACCAAUAGGGUGAGCAAACCGGGCUCAUUUCAUCCCCAACCAGGGUUAACCCCACUUAAAAUCAGCUGGAGCCAGGAGCACUCCCGCAGAUCAUUUCAAUUCGGGUAAAUCAGCGCUUUCCACUCCCCAAAGGAUAUUUCCCACCAGUUGGGCUGCAGGGUCACCUCCAGCAGAGAAGACCUUGAGUGAUGGAUGCUGUGUCUCGCAGCGAUUUAUUGGAGGCUGUUGCAUACCUCUUAACCUCAAACACUGCAAGAAAGAAGACGGGAAGCCUACAGAGCCCCGAGAACCUGGAGACAGCAAACCCUGCUCAUUCCCUGGGCUGGGAGCUCUGCACUGUGCUGAACUGAGCCACGGAUGUGCAGAGCAAAGGAUCCUGAAGCCGUCCUGCCCCUCUGCAGUGCUUCUCCCUUUUGAAGCCAUGAGGAAUUUCGCAGAGAUUUCCAAAGCCUUUGGGGAGACCUUAUGGAAAUGUGCAGCUGGGGGAGACCGGAGCGCCCAGGGGCCCCUUAAGCAACGUUUGUGCAAACGGACAAAGAAAUCCUAACUAAUAAUGAGCCCCGUUCCAAGGUUAUGAUUGAGUUUUUCCCCUGUUCUGCUUGAUAUUUCUGCCAAAGAAAGAAAAAUCCUCGCUGAAGUCUAGCAGGAAAUCCAAUAAAAUUUCUUCAAAAGAUGGGUCUGACA